UAAAUUCUGGGAUAUUCGUUAAGCUCUUAUUUUGAACCUACACUUAAAUUACGGGAGUUCAAUUAUCUAGAUGUGGAAAUGUACUUUCAUAUGAGUCCNCUUAAAUUACGGGAGUUCAAUUAUCUAGAUGUGGAAAUGUACUUUCAUAUGAGUCCUUUUACGGCUUUGAAGGCGAUUGAAUCAUCUGUGAGGGCACCCACCUAUCGAAGGAUAGGGGUCAAAAUUAGAGUACCGGUAUUUUGGAUAUUAU
rnacentral:other from 1 species